UUCUUGCUUUCAGCACUUACAUCCCUUUCUGGGAGCACACAGGAAAGGCGGAAUCUGGGGCUUUCUGUAUCCUGCUUUCCAUAACUGAAUUCCUCUUCAGAGACAUGCUUUUCUUUGAAAUGAACAAGCACCCUUCUUUUCCAGCAGGGCCACCGUUGUGACUACACAUCUCCUCYCACUACCUGAGGCUGAAACAACCAUUUGCUUACUUAAUUGGGUGAUUAUACAUUGCUCUGGAAUGUCUGAGUCUUCCUUCAUGUAGCUCCGCUGUUCCCAGCAUAAACCCAUCCUCUGUGGAACCACUGUUUU
rnacentral:lncRNA from 1 species